AGCCUUUGUGUUGCCUGUUCACUUUUGGUCACUAGAGAAUAUGGUGUCAAAGAAAAGGCAUAAAUUAAUGCUUUGUAGCCUUUCCUUUCCCUGGAGUUUGGUAUCUUGGGUGUAGGAGCUGCAUAAGUAACAAAG
ensembl:snoRNA LOC120095734 small nucleolar RNA SNORA13